ACUUACAGCGUCAUAAUCUAAUCAUUGUUAACCAAGACCUACACAUAUAUUUUUGAGGAUAUUUCUGGGGGCAUUUUUAGACAAAUAGCUCGACUGACAUUAUCUUUUUAUCUACUGAUUCUGUUCUACGUGCUGCAAAGGCAGAAUUCCAGCAGUGAUGUUUCCCUGUUGGUCCUGGGUUGUAAUGGGAAUUAUGGAGAUCAAAAAAUGGUUGGAGGAGAAAGAAGACAAGCCUAAAAGGCAGUAUAUCAUUAACCCAGAGGAUUUGGGUACAGACGUGGACACCGGUCUCCGUGAGGAGGAAUUCGAUGCUUAUGUGUCUGAGGAGAUUGACAAUAUUAUUGCACAGAUUCAAGCUUCU